UUAGUGUGUACGUCUUUAUGGGUUGUGA
rnacentral:sRNA from 1 species